CCCACACUGCCAGUUCCUCAAUGAUGUUGCUGCUGUGACCUUUUCCCCAUGACUCAGUUAUAAUCUCACAAAGUCAGGAUAAAUCCAGAUCUAUAGAAGCCAGACUAACCUAUGGUCUUCUUUGUAUUAUAUAGUGUAAGAUUGUAAGCAUUAAUAUGGAAAAGCAGCUCCUGCCAGUCCAAUCUGACUUUCAAUCAAAGGGAAGGCCGUGCUGCUGCCACCCAACUAAAUGGCCGUAUCUAGUGGCACUCCUUUUCCUUACCUGCUAUGUACAGUUUCUAUGUUACUACUGCAAUGAAAGCCCGGGAGGACUGGAAGACACUAUCAUCAAAGUAAUGGAUAUUGAUACCACACAAUAUAACCUGCUCUUUCUCGUGACCACAUGGCCUAACAUAUUUGUAUCAGUGAUAGGAGGAGUGAUAGCAGAUAGACUAUUAGGUCGAAGAGUCAGUUACAUGAUAUUGAUAAUUAUCAUCCUCACUGGUAUACUUGUGUGGUCUGCCGCUAGCUUUUUCAACCUUUUCUGGGUCGUAUUGGUCGGCCGGUUCUUCAUUGGAAUUGGAGCCACUUUGAUACCAGCUGUCACUGUUAUGUUUUUCAUCAAUUGGUUCGGUAAGAAGUAUUUCACACUAGCAGUGUCAAUUGGUGGCACUUCAGCACGACUUGGUGGUGCAGCUGCUUUGGCCGUACCUCAAUUCAUUAACGAGCAGUUAUGUUUCAUUGACGAUCCCUCAUAUCGUCUUGGGGCUACAAUAUUAGUAGGAGCUGGUCUGGCAUGUGUUGGAUUAAUGGUGGGUAUCACUGUAGCUAUGCUGGACAUGUAUAGGGAGACGUUUAAAGAAAAGAAGACACAGAAAGCCAAAAGAAGCAAAAUGAAGCACAGCGAUUUUAAGCAGUUUGAUGAUCGGUUUUGGCUGACGGUUUUCAUCAUUAUUUUCUAUUCAAUUGUAUUUUCAUUUACUGGCAUUGGGCAAGUUUUCUAUGUACAAAAGUAUAGUCUGUCACUAGAGGAAGCAAGCAUUGCAAAUUCAUUUGUAUUCAGUGCUACAAUACUAGCUACGCCAAUAAUUGGAUAUAUAGUGAACGGAAUUGGACACCACAUACUAUGGACUAUGGGAGCCAUUACCAGUGCUUUGGCUGUGCACCUAGUUCUACUCAUCACUUCUCCAGGGCUUCACUUCAUACCUUAUACCACUGGUAUCUUGUAUUCGGUGUCUUAUACGAUAGUUGCAGCUGCUUAUUGGCCUCUUGUUGGUCUAAUUGUGGAAAAGAGUCAGAUAGCAACUGCUUAUGGCAUCAUGUGCAGUAUGAAUAAUCUCUUCUGGGGUCUACUGUCGAUUGUCUCAGGUUUCAUCAUUGAUAUCAGCGGUUACUUUGUGUUAGAGAUAAUGUACUCAUCGUUGUUGUUUCUAAUACUAAUGAUAUCAGUGUUAGUGUUAAUGAUUGAUCUCGUAUCAGUGAGAUCAGUGGUGAAUGCACCCGGUACAUGGAAAAGAGAGGACUAAUAAUUUUGAUUAAAAAAAAUAUUUGUUCAAUAGAUCUAAUUGAGAGCAAUUUCAGGCAUGUGCAUGCUCCUCCCUUCUGCAUUUUUUCUAUCUCCAAGUAAAAAACUUCAUUUCAGUUCUGGUAUUUUAGUGGUAAUAAGCACUCUUAGUCUCCAGCUAUGUUAUAGAAAUGACACUGGAAUCAGAACAGCCACUCUUAUCCGCGGGCACUGAUAGUUCUGUAGAGAAAAAGGCAGACACCAUAGACAGUAGACCAGUAACAUGCUGCCAUCCUAACCAUUGGCCAUACUUGAUUACGCUCCUUCUCCUUAUCUGCUACGUCCAGGCAUUAUGCUUUUAUUGCAAUGAAAGCCCAGGUGGACUUGAGGACACUAUCAUCAAAGUAAUGGGUAUUGAUACCACACAAUAUAACCUGCUCUUUCUUGUGACCACAUGGCCUAACAUAUUUGUAUCAGUAAUAGGAGGAGUGAUAGCUGAUAGGAUACUAGGACCAAGAUCAAGCUCUAUCGUAAUAAUACUUGUUGUACUCUUGGGUCAGCUCAUUUGGUCGGCUGGAAGUUUUUUGAAUUAUUUUUGGGUCGUGUUGAUUGGUCGGUUCAUUAUAGGGAUAGGAGCCACUCUAUCUCCUGCAAUUUGUACUAUGUUUUUCAUCAGUUGGUUUGGUAAAGAAUAUCUAACUCUAGCAGUCUCUACUGGGGGGACUGCAGCUCGACUUGGAGCAGCAGCAGCUUUGGCUCUGCCUCAGUUCAUUUAUCAGCAAUUAUAUUAUUUUACCAAUCCGUUGUAUCGCCUUGGUGCUACAGUGCUAGUAGGUGCAGGGCUUGUAUUAAUAGGACUAAUAGCAAACAUAAUUGCAGUACUCAUGGACAAAUAUAGAGAAAAAGUACUGCAGAAAAAGAAAAUGAAGAUGAACAAAAUGAAUUGUAGCAAUUUGAAACAGUUCGAUGGAUUAUUCUGGCUAGCAACCAGCAUUACGCUCUACUAUUCAAUUGUGUUUUCAUUCACUGGAAUUGGACAAGUUUUCUACGUACAGAAGUAUGGCUUAUCACUAGAGGAAGCAAGCAUUACAAAUUCAUUUGUAUUCAGUGCUACAAUACUAGCUACACCAGUACUUGGAUAUAUUGUGAAUGUAAUUGGAUACCAUAUAUUAUGGACUAUGGUAGGACUAACCACUGGGCUAUUAGUGCAUGUAGUACUACUAGUCAGUAUUCCAGGGCUUCAUUUCAUACCACAUAUCACUGGUAUGUUAUAUUCAGUGUCUUAUACGAUAGUUGCAGCUGCUUAUUGGGUUAUCCCUGGACUCAUUGUGGAAGAGAAUCAGAUAGCGACCGCAUAUGGUAUAAUUGGAAGUUCUAUUAAUCUCUUCUGGGGUCUAUUGUCUGUAGUCUCAGGUUUCAUCAUUGAUAUCAGUGGCUACUUUGUGUUAGAGAUAUUGUACUCGUCAUUAUUGUUUCUAAUACUAAUUAUAUCAGUGUUAGUGUUAAUGAUUGAUCUUGUAUCAGUGAGAUCAGUGGUGAAUGCACCUGGUACAUGGAAAAGAGAAGACUAAUAAUUUUGAUUUUAAAAAUAUUUGUUCAAUAGAUCUAAUUGAGAGCAAUUUCAGGCAUGUGCAUGCCCCUCCCUCUGCAUUUUUCCUAUCUCCAAGUAAAAAAAACUUCAUUUCAGUUCUGGUAUUUUAGUGGUAAAAAGCACUCUUAGUCUCCAGGUAUUAUAGAAAUGAUAGUGGAAUCAGAACAGCCACUCUUAUCCGCGGGCACUGAUAGUUCUCCAGAGAAAGCGGAGGCAGACAAGAGUAGACCAGUAACAUGCUGCCAUCCUAACCACUGGCCAUACUUGACUACCCUCCUUCUCCUUAUCUGCUACGUCCAGGCAUUGUGCAUUUAUUGCAAUGACAGUCCAGGAGGACUGGAGGACACUAUCAUCAAAGUAAUGGGCAUUGAUACCACACAAUAUAACCUGCUCUUUCUUGUGACUACAUGGCCUAACAUAUUUGUAUCAGUAAUAGGAGGAGUGAUAGCUGAUAGGAUACUAGGGCCUAGAUCAAGCUCUAUUGUAAUACUACUUACGGUACUCCUGGGUCAGCUCAUUUGGUCGGCUGGAAGUUUUUUGAAUUAUUUUUGGGUCGUGUUGAUUGGUCGGUUCAUCAUAGGGAUAGGAGCCACUCUAUCUCCUGCAAUUUUUACUAUGUUUUUCAUCAGUUGGUUUGGUAAGAAAUAUCUAACACUAGCUGUCGCAAUUUGUGGUCCUUCACCUCAGCUUGGAGCUGCAGUAGCUUUGGCUCUGCCUCAGUUCAUUUAUCAGCAAUUAUAUUAUUUUACUGAUCCGUUGUAUCGCCUUGGUGCUACAGUGCUAGUAGGUGCAGGGCUUGUAUUAACAGGACUAAUGGCAACCAUAAUUGUAGUACUCAUGGACAAAUAUAGAGAAAAAAUACUGCAGAAAAAGAAAAUGGAGAUGAAUAAAAUCAAAUGUAGCGAUUUGAAACAAUUUGAUGGAUUAUUCUGGCUAGCCUCGAGUAUUACGCUUUACUAUUCAAUUGUACUUGCAUUCACUUGCAUUGGACAAGUUUUCUACGUACAGAAGUACAGUCUGUCACUAGAAGAAGCAAGCAUUGCAAACUCGCUUGUAUACAGUGCUACAAUACUAGCUACACCAGUAAUUGGAUAUGUUGUGAAUGUAAUUGGAUACCAUAUACUAUGGACUAUGGUAGGACUAACCACUGGGUUAUUAGUGCAUCUAGUACUACUAUUCAGUAUUCCAGGGCUUCACUACAUGCCUUAUGUCACUGGUAUCUUAUAUUCGGUAUCUUAUAUGAUAGUUGCAGCUGCUUAUGGGGUUAUCCCUGGACUUAUUGUGGAAGAGAAUCAGAUAGCGACCGCAUAUGGUAUAAUUAGUAGCUUCCUUAGUCUCUUCUGGGGUCUAUUGUCGGUAGUCUCUGGUGUCAUCAUUGAUAACAAUGGUUACUUUGUGUUAGAGAUUAUGAACACAUCGCUAUCGUUUUUAGUACUAAUGAUAUCAGUGUUAGUGUUAAUGAUUGAUCUCGUAUCAGUGAGAUCAGUGGUGAAUGCACCUGGUACAUGGAAAAAA
rnacentral:misc_RNA from 1 species